rnacentral:rRNA from 1 species
GUAGUCCACGCUGUAAACGUUGGGCACUAGGUGUGGCGACCCGACCAACGGUUGCCGUGCCGAAGCUAACGCAUUAAGUGCCCCGCCUGGGGAGUACGGCCGCAAGGCUAAAACUCAAAGGAAUUGACGGGUCCCCGCACAAGCGGCGGAGCAUGCGGCUUAAUUCGAUGCAACCCGAAGAACCUUACCUGGGUUUGACAUUAUGGGAAAAGCCGUAGAGAUACGGUGUCCGAAAGGGCCCAUAACAGGUGGUGCAUGGCUGUCGUCAGCUCGUGUCGUGAGAUGUUGGGUUAAGUCCCGCAACGAGCGCAACCCUUGUCCCUAGUUGCCAGCGGGUCAUGCCGGGAACUCUAGGGAGACUGCCGGUGCCAAACCGGAGGAAGGUGGGGAUGACGUCAAGUCAUCAUGCCCCUUAUGUCCAGGGCUGCACGCAUGCUACAAUGCGCGGUACAAAGGGCUGCGAUCCCGUAAGGGGGAGCGAAUCCCAAAAAGCCGCGCUCAGUUCGGAUCGAGGUCUGCAACCCGACCUCGUGAAGUCGGAGUCGCUAGUAAUCGCAGAUCAGCAAUGCUGCGGUGAAUA